rnacentral:rRNA from 1 species
CUUAACCGCGGAAGUGCCUUUGAAACUGUUGCUCUUGAGUCCCGGAGAGGUUGCCGGAAUUCGUGGUGUAGCGGUGAAAUGCGUAGAUAUCACGAGGAACACCAGAGGCGAAAGCGGGCAACUGGACGGGUACUGACACUGAGGCACGAAAGCGUGGGGAGCAAACAGGAUUAGAUACCCUGGUAGUCCGCGCCGUAAACGAUGAAUGCUCGCCGUUACCUCGUCAAGGGGUAGUGGCUAAGCUAACGCGUUAAGCAUUCCGCCUGGGGAGUACGAUCGCAAGGUUGAAACUCAAAGGAAUUGACGGGGGCCCGCACAAGCGGUGGAGCAUGUGGCUUAAUUCGAUGCAACGCGAAGAACCUUACCUAGGCUCGAACGCUAGACGACCGCUCCUGAAAGGGAGCUUUCCGCGAGGACGU